CGCGGCCUAUCAGCUUGUUGGUGAGGUAACGGCUCACCAAGGCGAUUACGGGUAGCUGGUCUGAGAGGACGAUCAGCCACACUGGAACUGAGAUACGGUCCAGACUCCUACGGGAGGCAGCAGGAGGGAAUCUUGCGCAAUGGGCGAAAGCCUGACGCAGCGACGCCGCGUGGGGGAUGAAUGCCUUAGGGUUGUAAACCCCUUUCACGAGGGAAGAAACUGACGGUACCUCGAGAAGAAGCCCCGGCCAACUACGUGCCAGCAGCCGCGGUAAUACGUAGGGGGCGAGCGUUGUCCGGAUUUAUUGGGCGUAAAGGGCUCGUAGGCGGCUUGGCAAGUCGGCCGUGAAAACCCAGGGCUCAACUCUGGGACGCCGGUCGAUACUGCCAUGGCUAGGGUCCGGUAGAGGGGAAUGGAAUUCCCGGUGUAGCGGUGAAAUGCGCAGAUAUCGGGAGGAACACCAGUAGCGAAGGCGGUUCCCUGGGCCGGCACCGACGCUGAGGAGCGAAAGCGUGGGGAGCAAACAGGAUUAGAUACCCUGGUAGUCCACGCCGUAAACGUUGGGUACUAGGCGUGGCGUCUUAUCAACGGAUGCCGUGCUCGAAGCUGACGCGUUAAGUACCCCGCCUGGGGAGUACGG
rnacentral:rRNA from 1 species